rnacentral:rRNA from 1 species
AGUUGUUGCAGUUAAAAAAGCUCGUAGUUGGAUCUCGGGUACUAGCAUGUGGUACGCUUAACUGCGUUACUACAUGUCUGGUCCUAAUCAACCGGUUGGCCGUUGAUGCCCUUUAUUGGGUGUUUUCGGUAGCCGGUACGUUUACUUUGAGAAAAUUAGAGUGCUUAAAGCAGGCCUUACGCCUGAAUAAUGUUGCAUGGAAUAAUAGAAUAGGACCUCGGUUCUAUUUUGUUGGUUUUGUAGAGCAUUGAGGUAAUGAUUAAUAGGGACAGACGGGGGCAUUCGUAUUGCGGUGUUAGAGGUGAAAUUCUUGGAUCGCCGCAAGACGAACAACUGCGAAAGCAUUUGCCAAGAAUGUUUUCAUUAAUCAAGAACGAAAGUUGGAGGUUCGAAGACGAUUAGAUACCGUCCUAGUUCCAACCAUAAACGAUGCCAACUAGCGAUUAGCUGCUGUUAAUUAAAACGACACAGCUAGCAGCUUCCGGGAAACCAAAGUCUUUGGGUUCCGGGGGUAAGUAGUGGUUGCAAAGCUAG